rnacentral:rRNA from 1 species
AUUGAACGCUGGCGGCAGGCCUAACACAUGCAAGUCGAGCGGACGAAGGGAGCUUGCUCCUGGAUUCAGCGGCGGACGGGUGAGUAAUGCCUAGGAAUCUGCCUGGUAGUGGGGAUAACGUCCGGAAACGGGCGCUAAUACCGCAUACGUCCUGAGGGAGAAAGUGGGGGAUCUUUGGACCUCACGCUAUUAGAUGAGCCUAGGUCGGAUUAGCUAGUUGGUGGGGUAAAGGCCUACCAAGGCGACGAUCCGUAACUGGUCUGAGAGGAUGAUCAGUCACACUGGAACUGAGACACGGUCCAGACUCCUACGGGAGGCAGCAGUGGGGAAUAUUGGACAAUGGGCGAAAGCCUGAUCCAGCCAUGCCGCGUGUGUGAAGAAGGUCUUCGGAUUGUAAAGCACUUUAAGUUGGGAGGAAGGGCAGUAAGUUAAUACCUUGCUGUUUUGACGUUACCAACAGAAUAAGCACCGGCUAACUUCGUG